UAGGAUUUUAGAUACCCUGCUAUUCUUUGAUAACCCCUCAGGUAGUACUUUUAAGAAAACCCACAUAAACUGGCGGUUAAAACCCUGUCAAAGGAACUCGCUUUAUAAUCGACAACCCCCGUUUAUUUUCGCCUCACCCGUUUAAAGCUUAUAUACCGCCGUUUCAGAAAUACUCCCAAAAAUUAUUUCUAUCUAGUAACCACUAAAAAAUCAGGUCAAGGUGUAGCCAAUGGUGAGGAUAAAAGUAAGUUACAUUAAAAGCUAUUUAUGGAUUUUCUCCAAAAACAGAACAAGAAAAAGGAUUUGAUUGCACAAAUACACAACGAUAAUAACCUAUUUCGACCCAUCCCGUUUUAACGCACACAUCGCCCCGGUCGCU
rnacentral:rRNA from 1 species